UGGGCAACCUGCCCUCAGCUCUGGGAUAACUCCAAGAAAUUGGGGCUAAUACCGGAUGUGACCGCUGACCGCAUGGUCUGGUGGUGGAAAGAUUUUAUCGGCUGGGGAUGGGCCCGCGGCCUAUCAGCUUGUUGGGUGGGGUAGUGGCCUACCAAGGCGACGACGGGUAGCCGGCCUGAGAGGGUGACCGGCCACACUGGGACUGAGACACGGCCCAGACUCCUACGGGA
rnacentral:rRNA from 1 species